UACGUAGGGUGCGAGCGUUAAUCGGAAUUACUGGGCGUAAAGCGUGCGCAGGCGGUGAGGUAAGUCUGGUGUGAAAGCCCCGGGCUCAACCUGGGAAUGGCAUUGGAAACUGGCUCGCUGGAGUGUGGCAGAGGGGGGUGGAAUUCCGCGUGUAGCAGUGAAAUGCGUAGAGAUGCGGAGGAACACCGAUGGCGAAGGCAGCCCCCUGGGCCAACACUGACGCUCAGGCACGAAAGCGUGGGGAGCAAACAGG
rnacentral:rRNA from 1 species